rnacentral:rRNA from 1 species
UACGUAGGGUGCAAGCGUUGUCCGGAAUUAUGGGGCGUAAAGAGCUUGUAGGCGGUUUGUCGCGUCUGCUGUGAAAUUUCGGGGCUCAACCCCGAACUUGCAGUGGGUACGGGCAGACUAGAGUGUGGUAGGGGAGACUGGAAUUCCUGGUGUAGCGGUGAAAUGCGCAGAUAUCAGGAGGAACACCGGUGGCGAAGGCGGGUCUCUGGGCCGUAACUGACGCUGAGGAGCGAAAGCAUGGGGAGCGAACAGG